rnacentral:lncRNA from 1 species
UUUUGAGAUCAAAGAUGAGGCAUACAGGACAGGGUCUGAGAGUGGUGAAAAUCGAUCAAAAACAAGAUACACACUCCUAUUUCCAGUUAACAAUGCAUACUGCGCAUACCCAUGUAUUUCUUUGAUUCUUUCUUUGCCGCAAAGGGGGGUGAUAAGGGGAUUGUAUAGGUGCGACAGAACUUUUUUUUUCAGAAUUUUUAUCAUAACACCGCAAGAUUGAUCGACGAUCACACGUACAUGAAUACAAAAAGAAUAUGAAUCGGCCGCGAAAAUUACAAGAAAUACUGGACAGAAAAACAAAACCCCUGUAUACUUCUAGAACACAUACGAUGUAUGUAUAUUCGCACCUAGGUACUCAAUUAUACGCUACUUGAUCAACCCAUAAUCGUUCAAUAUAUACCAUCCGUCUAUACGUGCGAUAUAUGCACGUAUAUAUACGUCAUACCACAAGAGCAGAGGUUGCCAACUAGCUAGGGGAGUCGCCAUGGCCAUGCCCUUCGCAGAGCUCCGAGAGCGCCCUGAGGAGCUCCACCCUGACCCGGAGCUGCGCGAUGUAGUCGGCCGUGCGGACGAGCAGCCGGUCGGUGGGCAUAACCGCCGCCCCGGGGACCAGCCGCCGCAGCUCCCGCACCUUCCGCCCCACCGCCGCCGACCGCCGGCGACGGCUCGAGCACAGCGACCUCCUCCUCCUGGCGAUCUCCAUGCCGAACGGAUCAGCAGGACAAUCAAUGAAAUGUGCUAGCUAGCUAGCUCUCUAGCAGCUACGCUACGUGCGGUACGUGUAGGCGUAGCGUGGCCCUGUGGUCGACGUGACGACGUUGAUGGGGAGGGAGGGAGAGCUGAGGCUGGGCUCGGGAUAAAUAGGGAGGGGGAGGGAGCGUUUUGGGAGCGGACGUUUCAGCGAGGGGGUUGCGCGUAAAAGUGAGCGUGAGCUGUGGCGCGUCGCGUAGCGCGGCGGAAGGGGGCCCGCGCGUGGACGCCACGUCUUGUCCUGCACACGUGUCUGACAGCUUUCUGACCGCCCAAGGACCCGGGGAAUUUAUGGGCGUGGAUUUUGUUUUGCCCGUUCUGCCCUUCGCUUUGUCUCUCGUGUGUCGAGAACCUUCUGAUGACAAAUUCAUGCGAAGUGAGUGUAGUUUAAAAAAAAUUGAGCAGUGACUGUAGUUUAAACGGUUUGGUUCCUUGUGAUGGAACUAGCCCAUCAGGGAAAGUCCUGUAGUUAAUAUUGGUAUUUUGCAUUUUUUUGAAUUUAAUUUAGUCUUUCUGGUGAUGUUCAUUUACUGCGAAGAGCGUCCCCGACUAUGAAGGCGUUUAUGGUGACUUUAUCACCCUCAUGUGUGCAUCCAAAUUUGUCCCCGUGUUAGAAAAAAGGAUAACAAAUUCACAAGGACCGGAUGACCUUUUCUAAGAGAGAUUUCAUGGAUUUUGCUUUUUAGAAAAGAUUUCCUUUAUUAUAAGGGUUCAGCGAGACAAGACCCGGACCAAACCAUGGUUCUACCUGUGACGAGAAGUCAUAACACGAUUCUACUACCUAUUACGAGAACUUGUAGUUUUAGCACAUUUAAUCUCUCGAUCUUCAUUAAGGACGUUGUUGGCAUGGCAGGACAAAACACAUAUCUCUACUCCAAAUAUUCCCAACGCUUCUGCUCAAUCGAGUCCACCAAAACAGGAUGCCCGACUAAUACAACCCUAGCAGAAUUUCAUCCUAGCUCAUGUCAAGCCUCAAAUUCAACAUGUAAUGCACUUGCAUAGGAACACAUCGAUCUGUAGGAUAAAAAGAUGAUAUCACCUGAACUAUUCCAUAACACCAUGCCAAUCCUACUGUACCAAUCUGAUGCCAUGAACGAUCUUUCCACAUUUAAGUUGGUCGAGCCCAUUUCAUACAGGUCACUAGUUUGCUGAACCAUGCAUUCUGUUGUAGACCCAAUUAAACUACGACAUUCUUUGUGGGAACACUGAACAACCUGCUUACCCUUUGCUAAGUCAAUCAUUUGGUAUUUCUUUCUAAGUAGUAGCAAGUCGAGAUAGCUAAUUGCAUAAAUAUCUCCUUGGUCUUUCUAUUCCCAGCAUCAACUUGUGAAGUGUCAAUUCAUUAUGCACAUGCCACACCAUUAGAGAAGCAUAAAAAAACACCACACGUUUUGUCUGCGAAACUUGUCAAGGAUCCACUAUGUUCCUACAAACCAACAAGCCCUCACCCCAUAUGUCUAAGUACUCUCUCAUUGCCUGCUACGGAGCUUGAGCACGAGGAUAUCAACAUAUCAUGUGAAAAGUGCUCUCACCAUCCACUCCACAGAUGGUGCAUAUCCCUUGUGUAAUCAUAUGCCUUUGAUGAAUAAUAUCUUUAGUAGAUAGAGCACUUCUUAAGACAUUCUUUUUCAAUCUUAAUUGGGAUUGGGCACUUCGCAACUAAAUUCCAAUGAGGGUGUGCUCACACAUACCUUGUUCAUCGAAUUAAUGUUGCAAGGCAAGAUAACAUGCACUAGGAAACAAGAACAUGCUUCAAUUGUCUAGGUAGGAUAUCUACAAAAUUGCUUCUUGAAGGCUUAAUCUGUAGAAUCAUUUCCAUAAGGGACAAAUGAUUCAAAACCUCAACGUAAGGUUAUGCCGUUUCAAAUUUCACAUAAUUAAAGAUAGGAUUCAUUGAACCAUAGAAAUAUAUCAACAUUCUCAAAAAUACCAAGUGAAUAAUUUUGCUAUUACAUAUAAUUUGUUAGAUAUGCGAAGCCUACAGAUUAAAUAGUGUAUGCAACAGGAACCCCUCUGAAUUGCCAUUUUCCAAAAAUAUCUGAACAAAAAAAGCUACGAUUGUUGUAGAGAGAAAGUGUGACAUUCAACAUGUGUGUGUGUGUGCGCGCGCGUGCAUGUGUGGUCUUACCAUCUAACGACAUCAAGCCAUCUUCAUCAUCAACCUAUUUCAUUAUACACAACCUCAUGCACUUUCUCGCGAGUACUUUCUCCUUACUCAUGAAGUUUCGUUGUUGGUCACAGGGCGGGAGGUUCCCGAGUGCUGAUUUUGGGCUCACAUGGAUGGCUUGAAAUGUGAAGUAGUGUUUCAUGAAACAUCAACGAGAUAACAUCGGUGGUACAUAGUGGCGGUGGAGAACUAAUGUUGUAAAAAUUUACGGCAAGAAGAAAGCAACAACCGAACUGCAUGUCUCCUGAUGUAUAUUGGGUCGCUCUAGCCUCAUAUGCACGACGAUUGUGACAUCAGAAUGGAAAAACACUGCACUCACAUGUCACGUUCAUCGCCAGAGUAUUUGAUGCUAACCAUUCCAAUUUGGAGUAGGAGUUUGGACCACAUUUUGGUGGAAAUGCUUUAAUUAAAUAUGGGCAGCAUAUGGGAUUUAGGUGAAAAUGAUUGAAAAUAGUUUGACGGGAAGUCGGAAGCACCAUGACCAAUUACAAAAUAAGAUAAUAAGAUUAAUCUUCCAUGUCUUGGAAGUUAACAUCAAAAUUCGAACAUGGUCCAAAAGUAGUUCUAACACCAAGCUCUUAAAUCUUGUCAUCUUGAUAAAGUUCACCAUAUCUGUCUAUACCGGUGUUGCACACGUAUGGUAGUUGAAAAAUACUUAUCUACAGAAUUGGUUUCACGAGGCACACGAAGGGAAUACAAAACAUAACAGUAUCAUUAUGUGUCACAGCAUACAAAUUAUCUAGUAGGUGCACCACUUCACCGUACGUCUAUGCAAAUUGUCACCACCCACGCAAUGCAAGACAGCAUAGGGUCAAGAAAUUGAUUGCGUGACAAGGUUUGUGUACUACCAUCGAAAACCGUACGUAGUCACGCCAGCCAGCCAGCUGCAACCCUCUAGGCGUCAAAUUAGACCGCGAAAAGCAAAGCGCUCAUCAGCAUAACCGUCUGAGAACGUGUUUGCACGUGCGUGCCGGGCGGUGGGCGUGGCAUGAUAGCUGGCCUCUUUUAUCCUGUAAUGGACGAGCCGUGAGGUGGAUGGGAAGGGGACCAUGAGGCCAUGGGGGGCACUCUAGGUGUGCACGUAACAUGGCUACAUAUGCACAGGUUUUCUCUUGGCGGGAACAUGAGAGAGAAAGAAACGGAGAGCCGGCCGGGUUGGCCCGUUGUGGUUGGUGCACUCAAUAACGGGAAACGGUGCACAUGCAUGCACAUGAUGCUACGGCCCCUGAACAAUCCAGUCUUGGCGUAUUAUCGAUCCAUCCAUCUAAUUAAGCCGUACGUCUGGCCGUCCGAUAAAUGCAUUGCUAGCUUGCACUUGCACAGCCAUGUAUGUGCCGUUCAUUCAACCAGUGGAUGGAUGGGAGAAUCCCACGUGCCUCUAUAUGACUAUAUGUAAUGUACGCCUGCGGCCUGCCUCGACACUCAGUCUAGCUUAUAUAAUUAUUAUGGACUUGAUCAAAGUUAAGCCGUCCAAUAAACACGAAAACAGACGUCGAUCGUGAUGGUGCUAGCAAUGAUAACGCCCCUGUUCUUCGAUGAAAAAAAUGAUAGUGCCCCUGGUAAACGAAGACAAAUAUCUAUGGAUCUGAUAGUUUCUCUCAAGGCUGGGUCGAACGAACUUGCCUGGAUUCCCUCCAGGGUUUGUGUCUUCUUUGUACUCAUCUUGAGAUGAAAUGUGUUUUUCACCAUGCGACAACGAACCAGUUGCUCACCCAGCGAUUGAGAUUUCAGCCAUGCAUGGACCUAGAAAAUAAAUAAAUAUAGAUUACGGCCGAACUUUUGCUGCAAGCUUAGCUUGGAUGCAUGCAUUGGCGGAGUCGGGGCCAAAAGCUGUACCAGAGUGUCAAAACCGUAAUAUUUUUAGAUGUCGGUACUCUGCAAGAGGCUGACCGAUUACGCCCCUGUUUUUUUUUUCUCUAGGAUUGAGAGGCCACGGUUGGCCAGAGUGUGGACGAGCAAGAUGGAGGGGAAAGUGAGGUUCUUCUUAUGGCUCUUGCUCCAGAACAGAAACUGGACUGCUGACCGAUUGCAAGCAAGAGGCUGGCCACAUAAUGAUCUCUGCAAGCUCUGUGAUCAGGAACCUAAAACUGCGAAUCAUAUUGCUCUGCACUGCUCUUUUGCCAAGGAGAUAUGGUUCCAGUUCCGACAAUCUCACAAUGCCAUGUGUGUUGUGGCCGAUGAGGCGCGGACCGUGGGCGAGUGGUGGGAGAGGUUGUGCUCUGCCAGAGGGUCGAGGGAGCAAUGCAGGGAGGACAUGACCGUGGCUGCCUACAUUGUGUGGAAUCUCUGGAAGGAGAGGAAUCAGCGAGUCUUCAAACAUAAGGAACUGACAAUUCUUGCGCUAACUGGGCUCAUUAAGGAUGACAUCAAGUGUUUUGGGGAGGCAACUAGAGGGGUUCACACCGUAGGGUUGUAAUCUUUUCUGCUUUCUAGUCUCCAUGCUGUAAUGUGGGAUGCGACCUUCACGCGAUGGUCGAUCCGUUCUUGUAUGACUUCUUUUCUAUAAUGCAAAGGCAGAGCUCCUGCUAUUCUUGUCAAAAAAAAAUAUGUAGAAGAUGAUUGUCUACACUGAAUGAGAAUAGUCAAAGGUGAUCACCGUAGCUCAAUUUUUCUAGGCCGGCUUGCGAUCGCGAUUCUGCAUACCGUAUACGACAACAUCAAAGGUGUCCUUGCUAAAUGUAUGUGCAUGUGACCUGUGAUCGUGACCAUAAAGCCUAUAGCCUGGUGGGCGGUGUCUACUAACACCUUAAUCAUAAUUUAGAGGAAAGGCAGGGGCUCUAAGCCAAAAUACCAUCUUUUUAGGUUGCAUCACAGCUCACCGCUAGCCGCUAGGGCCCUGAUCUCCUGCCCUUCGCUUUCUGUACCAGACCAGCGGCAUACCACAAUCCUCCCGCGGUUUCAUUUUCGAAAAUACUAAGGCUCACACGAUUUGCAUCUCGACCAUACGCAUAGAUCAACGUUUAUUUGUGUUUGUAUGAAUUUUGGCAUGUUUUGCCAGAUUUUUUAUGACACGUAGGACUGGGCUGGUGUGUGAGCAUUCAUCGAUCGCCCACACGUCUGUUUCACCACGCGGAGGGGCUGGUGUAUGGGCGUUUAGCAGUUCGCCAAAAACGUCAGUUUUCACGCACGCAGAGGGGCUGGUGUGUGGGCCUUUAUGAGUUCGCACACACGCCCGUCUCCUCUCCCACACCCAAAGCAGUCAGUUGCCAUGUGUUUUUUCAGAGUACAUGGCAAUUGCCCUAGCGUGCUUGUAAGCAGAUGGCAACUCUCUCUGUACCCAAGUUGCCAUGUGUUUUGCAGGGUACAUGACAACUGCCCUAGCGUGCUUGUAAGCAGAUGGCAACUCUCGCUUUACCCGAACAUGUUUUUUUGCCAUGCCUUUUUUAUAGUGCUACAUGGCAAAUGCCUAGUGUUAGUAGGUGGCAACUCCUAAAGUUUUCAAAUCAUGGCAACUGUAGUAGACCAGACCAUACAUGGCAACAGCUGCAGUUGUCCAAAAAUGGCAUCUGGCACUUGACCUGAGAUGGCAACUGCAGUUGAGCAACCAUCGCAAGGUUCAGCAACAUGGCAACUGCAGUUAAACGAACAUGGAAGAGGGUCCGGACCAUGACAAUUGCGGGGACGCGUGGUGACUGUCACGCGGAGCGUGCGGGGUCGUGAGUACGGGCGUGUGGGCGUUAUCUAUUUUGCCCACACGUAGGCGUGUGGGAGGGACCGCGAGGCAAAAGACCGAACGUAUGGGCAUUACUUGUUUUGCCCACACGCAGACGUGUGGACUGGUUCUUUAGAUAUCACCAAAAACGUGUGGCCAGACCCCUUAACGCCCACACGUAUCGGGACCCUUCAUUUUUUACUUACCCUGUAACCCUUUCUUUUCUUAACUUGUGGCACACUUUAUUUGAACAAAAAACAAGUUACAUCCCGAAAAAGUUCCAGUUAGAGCAUUCAUAGUCGGACUUGGCAAAUCCGACCACUCAAACGCUCGCGGACGCGCUCGGGCGCGUUCGCAGGCACUGACCGGGCACCUCCCAAAUCGCGUCGUCCACAUCCGUGUAUCUCAUAUCCGAACCCCUAUAUCCAUACUAAAUCAUGCAACGUCAAUAAAAUUACGUAGAUCAGCUGACCGGACAUAGAAUCAGACAUAGGAUAGCACAAUAGUUCACCAGAAAAUCACGAACGGUUAUUCAUAGGUCCACCAAAGUUCACAUAAACAACAGACAACUUAUACUACAUCUAAAACUUGAAAGUAAAUUGAACUUCACCACUUUCGGGCCAGCCCUUGCCCCUUCUGGUCGCCAGCGUAGCUGUAGCCGUCGGCGGCUGGUGAAGGAUCAUCCGAUUUGCCAGAAUCGGAGCCGUCGUCGUCAGACGAGGAGGGGGAGACGAUGAUGAAGCCCUUGAGGUGCUGGAAGGCCCGGUCUUGCUGGCGCCUGAGCUUGGCCAGUCGAGCCACCUCCGUCACCUUCUCCUUCGCGUCCCGCUCGGACUGCUUGAUGGCAAGCCGUAGAGCCUUCACGUUCUUCCGGCGGAGCCGCCGAACCUCCGUCUCCGCCGUCGUAAGCGACCGGCGGUAGAACCACGUGAGGAGCCGUGCGUCCUCAUCGGGCUCCGUUGUUACCCCUCGGUGGCGGCGGACAGAGCUCUCCGCAACGUCCCUCUCCCUUGCUCGCUACCUCUCGCAACGGGCGGCGCGCGCCUCCGACUCCAGCAUGCGCGUCUGGCCCGCGGGGCGGGCACAAGCACCCACCACUGCCCAUGAGGGGGAGCAGCAGCCGGCGGGGCCAGGGGAUGGUGUAGGGGAGGCACGGAUUGCGCAGGCCGCCUGUCGAAGCUUCCCCUGGUAGGGAGGGGCCAGCACCGGUGUCCGAGCUGCGGCGACAGGGAAGCUGCAGAUGCGGCGAGGCUGCAGAUCCUGAGCUGCUCCCGGUCUCCACCUUGGACCACUCAAAGGCGAUGCGGAGGGCAAGUUCAUACUCUGGAUCCAGCUCAUCGUUGGAGCGGCUGCCGGUGCUUGACAUUGCGCCGGAUUCAAUCGGAAUUGGUGCGUGGAGAGGAGAGGACAAAGCGAGAGAGAAGAGUGAGUGAGCUAGGGUUUCAGAGCGAUGAGCUUGAUGGGUUUUUUUGUGGGACAUCCAUGGGGUCGAUGGUGGGCCGGGCUUGUCAGGCGGACGCGCCCGGACGCGCCCGGGCCGCCUCAUAUCCACCCUACAUUUGGGACGGAUAUGAGGGGUGCCGGUCAGCCCGGGCGUUUGAGGCCCGUUUGAGAGUUCCGGUUGGUUCGGUAUUUUGUGAUCGGUCAGUGACCGAAAGGCCUGCCCGGGCAUAUGAGAUGGAUAUAGGGCGCCCAACUUUAGAUGCUCUUACGAGAAAAUUUGGAACCCUCCAAAGAAAUUACAGAAAUUGAGUCAUACGAAUUCCUAGCUAAGCAGUGUGCCACUUUGUUCGUCUCUCUAGUGCAAUGCAUGAAAGAAAAUGAGUCAAUCUUGUGCGUAAUUUGAAAACACACACUGAGGACUAAAGAAUUAGUGUUAUGGAAAAAUCAUAUUGUCGUAGGCUUUCUGAAGAUCUACUUUGAGGUAGGUCUUGACAACACCCACUACAGAAAAAUACACUUCCAUAAUGAUACGUGUUUGUCACAGUAGAUCAUCUUUUUUUCCAUGUAUGUACAUCCAUGACGAUUUUAUGAAAGAAUCGAUAGUCAUACAUGUGCUGUGGUAGAAGUGUUCCAUGACAAUACAAAAAUUAUCAUCACGGAAGUGUUCACUUCCAUGACGAUAAAUGACGCAUCAUGGAAGUGCUUUUGUCAAGGGUAACCGACACGUGGCAUCCACCGUAACGGGUCAUCGUUAAGCUAUCGGGUCCGGUUUUGGAUCCGAUAACCCGUUAACAGCCCAGACCAAUGGCGAUUUUCCACAUGUAAAAUUCUCAUUGGCCGAAGGAAACAUGUGGCAGCUCGUCAUUGGGUCAGAUAGACGCCUAUGAUAUGUCGACACGUGCGACAACCCACCACUGGCCCAUUUAGCUUACAAAGGCCGGCCUGUUUGACUUGGUCAAAAGUUAGCGGGUCGGCCAUGAAAAGCCUGUUAAUGGUCUGUUUGCAAAUAGCCCAUUUUAUGGCCCAGUAACUCAGGGCCCAUUAGGGCCUUCCCGAAAUCAGCCCAACAGCGUCAUGUGGGCCGUCGAAUAUAACACCAUCACGUUUCACUUUCGGCCAUGUAUUGCCCACGACGUCUUUUGGCCCAUAUGAGGCCUUUCUUAUCUUUAGGCCCUUUAGUGGCCCACGGUGACUCUAGCCCAUAAUGUACAGUAAAUUUCUUUCUACCCAUUAAUGACCCAUGAUUCACAUGGGCCGUUUCCAGCCCGUGUUAGCUUUCGGCAUACUGACGGCCCAUACGUUCUUGUGCUCCUUUCCGGCCCUCGAUUACUUCCGGCCCGUGCCUAGAAUCGGCCCGUUUCUGGCCUGUUAACCCGUUGCACCGUUUCUAGCCCGUCCUGUAUUCUGGCCCAUUAACAACCCGUCAUUCAUGUGACAGAAUUAAGCAUUUGCUGUCUUCCGGCCUAUUAACGGCCGGUUACCAUGCUGGCCUGAUACCAGUUAUGCCCGUUUACGGCCCAUGUGGACCCAUUUAUCCGACGGCCCGAGGCCCACCGAUUCUACUGCCCGUUGGAGGCCCAUUUAUCCGACGGCCCAUAGGAGGCCCUUGGAUCCUACAACCUGUAGCAGGGUCAAGGUUACCACGGUCCGUAUACGACCCAUGGUUGUUGCGGCCACUAGCAAACCAGGGAAAAAGAAGACUAGGAAAAAAAUAAGCCCGAAACUAACGCUAGGCUAUUAAGGCGAUUGCACAGAUUACAUCCAGUGGGCAUCAAAGUUCGCCACUAGUGCAAAUAUAGGGAACACCCUACACUAUACAAAAUUGGCUUGCUAUUUUCUUCAACCGGUGGGUGCAUGUUAAGAACAAAUUUUGUAUCGCAACAAAACAAAUUACAACCAUAAAACAAAAGGAAGGUUGGCAUAAAAGUUAACAGUCUGGCAGAUAAAUGCACCACCAGAAGUUAAGAAGCUCACUUCAUUUGACCUGACUGUUAUGUUUUCAUGUUGUAUUGUCCGACAGAGCACCAUAACCUUCGCCUUCAUUUCUCCUAGGGUCCUGAACAAUAUAGCAAAUGUCUGAUAGUCUGGUUUCAAAACCAUGCAUAUCUUGACGACAUCGAACAAUGGCUGUCCUUGUUUCACGAAGGGUCUCUGUUAGGGAAUGGGCCUGUGUCUGGAGCACAGAUAUAACAUUGUUUUGAGCUUGCAUACCUUGAUCAUGAGGCAGUUUGGACGAGAUUGCCUUAACAACCAACCCAAUAUUACGCAGGAAUGUGCUUUUGGCACUGUUAGUGGACAGGUACUGACCCACUGCAGCAAGAGGUGACAUUGCGGUUAUAGUUGCCUCGUCACCUUGAGAAGGUGGCAGUUCUACCAUUUUUUCCAUAGCUUGCUGAAAAGUUGCAUUCUUACAUUAGUAGUACCAGAAUAGAAGAUAUUAAGGAGGCAACAAAACCAAACAAAAUAGCUUUGGUCUAUAUACAGAACUUAUUCUGGUGAACCCAUGUAAAAUAUUAGUUGUAUUUUACUGCAAAGUACAUAAUAAAACCAGGUUCCAUACAUAUGACCAUGCACCAUGGCUAAUGUAUUUUCUAUUUCUUCACAUUGUAUUGACAGCUAAGAAUAAAGAGAUAAAGUUUAUAAUACGGUAAGCAUAGUAUGACAUCAUUCAUAUCACAAAACAACUGAGAACAAACAAACAAACAAUUGUAACGUUGUGUGGGCAAGUCCAGCACGGAACCAGAUUAUAGAUCAAGAUCAAAGGAACAUCAAUCCUCUCUUUUAAACCUUAUAAGGUGCAAUGAUACGCUAAGACAAUUGUGUAUAAAAUUGAAAAGAGUAAUAGACAUUGGCUGCAAACCAUGCAGUUCAAUGCACAAGUGAGAGUAAGUAGUAGUUAAAAGGCAUGACGAUUAAGGACUUACAACAGCGUCUUUGACUGGUGUAGUCAUGCCCUUUGUCUUGUUGGUGUGACAGUCCUUGAAGAUUUCCACAACAUUUGGUUCAGGUACUUUUUGGUCCUUGUGGGCUUUCCUCUGCAUUUGGAACAAUUCAAUAUAGAUCUGAUAAUAUGGUACAACAAAAAGAUUGAAACAACAGCUAAUUACAAGAGCCUCGCAGUGUGCAAUAUAGCUACGAGAUCCUGUCAUUUGUUGGAAUUUCACUUUCGUACGGUUGGCCUUGUUCUUUGAACAGUUCACCUACAAGAAGAUAGAUUUCUGAGGCACUUGCGUAAAUAGGAGUUCAACAUGUGAUCUAAUCGCAUACAUAUAACGUACCUGAUACUUUGGAUCAGACCAGUGUUUAACGAGGCCUCUCCAGUCUUCAUCCGAUAUAUUUUCCACUGGAGAUGUUUGGGCAAGUUCACUGUUAGCCUUGCCUUCAAAGUGAGUUUUCCUCAAGUUAUACCAAUACUGUCGCAAAGCAGACUUGAAAACAUGGGUGCAAGCUUGUCUGGUUGCAUCAUCUUUGCUAUCCAACUUGAACCUCAUCUGUUGAAAAUUAUGGUAGUCUCAUUAUCAACAACCUAGAAAGCAUGGGACAGAGGAACACGAUAUUACUAGUUUCCAUACAUAACCAUACUUACAGAUAAAUGGUCGAGGAAGGUGUUGAACUGGGUUUCGUCUUUGCCAAUCCUGUAGUGAAUCCAUGUUGGGAGGAUAUGUACAUGAGACCUAACCGCAACCGCUGCCUCUGAUACUAACUUGGCUGACUAUGUAGCAUCAUGUGGCCUUUUUAAACCUGCCUCAAAACAAAUCUCCAUUCUUCCUCCUCUAGAUUUAGUUAACCUAUCGAGCAUUAUCCCUGAUGUUUGUUUCCUCUUGCUCCUAGGUGCUAGUCCAACAGCGAACAUAGGAAGUGUUAGUGUACAUCAAACUGUGAGACUACAUAUAAAGAAGCAUGCAACUGUAACUUGACUGCAACAACUACCUUCUUGCUGUUGAAGCUCACAAAGUUUAUCUGAUCUUGCCAACUCGUCUUGUGUCAAGAGUGCUUCGGAAGUAGUGUCAGGUGGCAAGGGAGCUUGGGAACGUGCUGCUAGCUGGGUUGCCGAACGAGUAACUCGUGCAGCUGGUGGUACUAUGGAAGGUGUUGCAACAACUAGGGCUGUCUCUGCUUGUUUGGUGGCAGCUAUUGGUUUCUGUUUGGCUUGUUCUGCAGCUCUUGUAGCACGGGAUACCCCGUUUGUACAAUUUUCUGCUAGACUUUGACCUUCUAUUGCACCAUCAGUACCAGUAGAAUCUGUAGGAUUCUUCCGCUUCCGUUUCCGUGUGUCCUUAGUACUAAUACCAUCCCCUGUUAUUCUGUGUUCCUUCCUCUUUCUCUGUGCCAUGUUAAGUCAAGCUAACAAGAAAAAGGAAUAACAAUUUUGUUUUUCAGAACAAAUUGAUGCGUGAUAUAGACAAACUGAAUUUUGAUGUUAGACAACCACAUGAUAGGAGGAUGUAAUAUGUACGAAAAAUAGGACGUCAUGAGAUAAUCAGAACUAUGAUGUGUAAACUAAACAGAAGACAUUUCACUAAAUUAGAAGCAAUGCAAUGGAAGGUAGACACCAUAUGAAAGACGCUACAAAUAUCGCUCUGCCAAGUUAAAAGUGUCUCGUCAUAACUGGCAUUUAAAAAAAUGUGAAGCAGUACAAGAAAUAAAUCAUAUGCAAGAUGCAAACAACAUCACACUACCAAGUUAAAGGUCUCUUGUCAUUAGUGCCAUUGCAUAUUCACAGCAUUGCAUAUUCACAGCUUAUGAUGUGUAAACUAAGCAGAAGACAUUUCAACAAAUUAGAAGCAAUGAAAGCUAGACACCAUAUGAAAGAUGCAACGAAUAUCACUCUACCAAGUUAAAACUGUCUCGUCAUAAGUGCCAUUUCAACAAAUGAGAAGUAGUACAAGCUAGAAAAGAAUGCGAGAUGUAAGGCAAACACAUGAUACCAGGAUGGAAUAUGUAUGAAAAACAGGACGGAAUGGCAUAUUCACAACUGUUUGUGUAAACUAAGCAGAAGCCAUUUCAACAAAUAAGAAGCAAUGCAAACUAGACACCGUAUGCAACAUGCAAGACAAUAUCACGCUGCCAAACUAGAGAAAGCACCUGGGAUGCCGGUUUCGCCGGAAGACCGCCAUCAGUCCUUGCCUUAUUUUUUCCUUCCUCGUUCUUAGUUGUAUUGCCUUGUCAAGUCAAACCCACAAGAAAAUGAAUAAAAAUUCGCUUUUCAGAACUCAUUGAUGCAUAAUGCUGAUGAGCACUAGUUUAAUGUAAGGCGAUCGCAUGAUAGGACGAUUGAAUGUGUAAGAAAAAAGGACAGCAUUGCAUAUCCAUAGCUAUGAUGUGUAAGCAGAAGGCAUUUCAACAAAUUAGAAGCAAUGAAAGCUAGACACCGUAUGAAAGAUGCAAUGAAUAUCACUCUACGAAGUUAAAAUUGUCUCAUCAUAAGUGCAAUUUCAACAAAUUAGAAGUAGUACAAGCUAGAAAAGAAUGCGAGAUGUAACCUAUAUCACACUCCCAAGUCAAAUGUGUCUUAUGAUAAGUGAUUGUUGCAGGUUACACAACAUUAGUACUUUGAUGUAAGAACAUGGUGUGAUAGACAGAUAUUGUAUGUUUCUAGAAACAGGAACAUGUGUCUUAUUCACAAGUAUAAUGUGUAAAGUAAGCAGAUGGAAUUCAACAAAAUUAGAAGCAAUACAAGCUAGACAUCAUACAUAACAUGCAACCACAUAUAACAAUGCCAAGUUAGAGGGGGCACCUAUGAUGGUGCACUAGGGGAGACGUGCUCAUCAUCAACACAGCUACGUUGAGUGUCUAUGCAUGUGUUGUCUUGCAAAUCAUCUUGGGGGGGGGGUGGAGGAGUAGAAUCUGUAGAGGCCCUCCGUUUGAAAGGAGCACCUUUAUCCGCUGGCUUGCUAUUUUCCUUCCGCUUUAUUGGUUUUGAAUUGUCAAGUAAAACCGACAAGAAAAAGCAAUAAAAUUCACUCUUCAGAACUCAUUCGUGCAUGAUACUGACAAUCACUACUUUGAUGUAAGGCAAACACAUGAUACCAGGAUGGAAUAUGUACGAAAAACAGGAAGGCAUGGCAUAUCCACAACUGUUUGUGAUAACUAAGCAGAAGCCAUUUCAACAAAUAAGAAGCAAUGCAAGCUAGACACCACGUGAAAGAUGCAACCAAUAUGACUCUGCCAAGUUAAAAGCGUCCCAUCAUAAAUGGUAUUUCAACGAAUUAGAAGCAGCGCAUGCUAUAAAUCAUAUGAAAGAUGCAACUAAUAUCGCACUGCAUAUACUAAAGGUGUCUCAUCAUAUUGAUUGAUGCGGGAUACAAAAAAACAAUAGUUUUAUGUAAGGGCAUGCUUAAUAGACAGAUGUACUAUGUACUAAAAAUAGGAAGGCAUGUCACAAUAAUAGGUAUAAUGUAUAAACUAAGCAAAAUAGCACAUGCAAUUUAACCAGAUUGGAAGAAUUACAAUGUAGACACCCUAUGCCCCAUGCAACCACAUAUCACGCUCCCAAGUUAGAGCAAGCACCUGCGAUGCUGGUGUAGGGGAAAUGCGGUAAUCAACUACAGAGCUAUGUUCCCUAUCUUCAUCUAGCCUUGCUGUUUCUUGAUAAUCAUGUGGGGAGGUCGUUCAUAUAAAAAUAUCUUUCCUUAUCUUAAUAAAGACCGACUUCGGCCUUUCGAAUACAAGCUAGACACCAUAUGCAACCACAUAUGACACCGCGAAGUUAAAGCAAGCACCUGGGAUGGUGGUUCAUGGCGAGCGAGAUCAUCAACUCCAGAGCUACGUUUACCAUCUCCAUCUGUUGAACGUCCAACCUUUAAAGCACAGACACGUGUCUUGCCUGCCUGCGAAGCAAGCAUGAGCGAUUUCUCUCUUUUCUUUUCUGCUUCUGUCAAGGCAGAGUCUGAAAUACCCUUGCAUAAAAACACAAUAGUGAGAGUAUGGGUGAAGUGUGUGCAGAACUAGUGCACUGUAAAAGUAGCAGAUAGCAGGUGGCUGAAAAAUAAAUGACAGGAGACAUAUGAUAGCUCUACAACAUUGCAUGGCAAACAAAAUUAGAUUCUACUCAGUAUGAUUUUGUAAUAUAUGAGCACAGAGAUGGCUGGGAAAUGUAGGUACUCCUCUAGCACACCACCACAUGUGGUCCUUUCAAAAUAACAAUCGACUAAAAAUAAAUAGGUCAGUCGAUUUUUUUAUGAACCGUCCGAUCUAUAAGGAACGGGCAGAUGGCCUUCGUCUACCUCCCGCCAGUCACUGUUGAUGAUCUUUCUCGAACCGCCAACGACCACCGGCCCAGACCCCUGCCUUCGCCACCCCGCCCUCCCCUCGACCUCACACCACCGCCGUGCUUGGCAGCAUCUCCCGGCCAUCCCUUUAAUCCCGGCCAACCUCUAGAUCGGGCGCUAGCAGCUCCUAGGCCCCACACACCCCUAAGAUAAACACCGAGGCGCUGCUUCCCUGGCAUAAUAGGCGGACUAGCGCCUGUUACGCCGGGGAAUGCUUCCUUUAAUUGGGAAUCAACUGACCAGGAAUUCAAAUCCAAGGGGGCGACAGACCUCUAGCUAAGGUGAAAUAGUAUAUGAGGAGAAACCUUGUGCAUCGCGAGUCACUAGGAACAUCUAGUAUCAAGAAGAAGCGGUCAACUAGUGUCUUCUGUGGGAUGAAUACCGUGCAAGCAGACACGUAAGAUUUGCACGAGUAAGGGAAGAGGAGUACCAUUUUCCGGUUGCCAGUGCUGGGUCCUCCGGAUGUCGCGGCGAUUUUCUUGGUUUUACCUGGGGAACCGAUGUUUUGGAGGAGGGUCGAGCCUUGGACGAACCCAUGGCCAAAUUGUUGACUGUGUUGCGGUGGCCGUCUGUCGGCGGAUGGGAAGCAGAUCCGAGGCGGCGAAGGACGGUGUAGCGGGAACAACUCCGGUGCAGUGGAUGAUGGUGAAGUUGGAGCGGCAGUGGUGAGGCACACGACGGCGUGGUUGAACUGGCUCGGGUACGGACAGCUCGGCCUCGGCUUCAACUACUAGCCAUGGAGGGCGUUGCGGUUGCGGUUGCAGUGGACGACGACGUCGGGGUAUCGGCUCCGGCAUGAUGGAGGGCGGCGGUUGAUAGGUGGGAUGGGGUGGCGGACGGAGGACGCCGGGGUUUCACGGCUGGUGGAGAGGUAGUUUUGGCACCCACGGAGUACGAAUGGGGAAUCGGACAGGGGGCGGGGGGUGGGAGGAGCUAAGGGAGAACCAUGUUUCAGUCAGGGACGCGCUUGUUUUUGGUUUUUUUUGAACAAAUGGGACACGCUUGUUUGAAAUUUGGGGAAAGUACAAACUUUGCCCCCCUCGUAAAUUUCGGACCUACUGCGGGUGGGGGUAGGAUGGUAAUCCCAGGUGUCCCAAAUAGUGGGCGGGAGCGAUUUCAGCUGUGCACAUGUGUGCUUAGGCGGCCAUUGUGUAUAUAUGAAUGUUUUUCGGAGGUGGUUGCGUGGCAUCUAGAUGAAGCUACAAACAUACCCCGGUUUAGACCUUUGGACGCCGGGCCGAUAGGUUUCGCGGGUCGGAGUUAGAAAAGUAAUUUCCUUGUAGCAAACAUUGGUCUCACGCGGUUUCGGGCGAGUAGAGGCUCUUUUGGCGCUUCGUUCGAAAUUUUGAAACAGAAGCAUUCACGUUUAGAGUACUCCUGAACUUUGAGGAUUGACCUAAAUAGAAAACGUUAAAUUAGACCUUGUAUGUUUGAAAACCUCAUUAAAUUCUGCGCUUCUUUUUGAAAUUUUGACACUUGAAAAUCCUAUAACUAUGAUUAUUUUGGAAUGGAGGAGGUAAAUUUGAAUCUAUUUUGUACAGGACUAUAUAUGCUAUUAUGUACAAAAGAAGAGCAAAGAUUGAUGCCCCCAUAAUUUAGGUAUGAGUUACAAAUGCCAUGAUAUUAAAUUCAAAUAAUUGAAUGGACUUCAUGUUGAAUUCGAAUUUUUUAAACCACCUUAAGUUGAAUUAAAAUGUAUGCUAGUUCAUAGCUAGCUAUUUACAAUGUUCAUUGUGUAACUUUUGUAUGUAUAAUGUGCUUUACACACACAACAUGAACUAUACUCACGUUUAUAUUCGAUUGCUAAAGCGAUGCAUUGUCUGGAGUUCGCAAUACUAACUAUGUGGAUCAAUUAUGUCGAAUAAUAACAUAGACAUGCCCAAAUUUGAUAGAAUAUAGAUGUCUGAUGGAUCAAUGACCGUUCCUUACGCGAAUUGCAAAUAUCAUGAUCCAUCCUAAUAUUUGGAUACAAUUUAUAUUUUUAAUCAAUGUGUACAUCAGUCUUUUACGUGUAGUUUUACUCUCCAUCGGUGGUCUCUGGCACAUGCUCACACACUCUCUCCCGAGGUGUCUUUCUCGCAGACAUGCUCUCGAUAAAACCCUCCCUCCCUCUCGUAACCAUUUAUGACUGUUUUCACUAACCUUUAUCACAAGCAUUCUUCCUCUCACAAGCAUACAAACGCACAAUCCCCAUCGACCCUUUUUAUAUACAUAGACCUGCCUACGUGUCUCCCGUACGCACAUUAUCUUUAGGCCCGUCUCUCACGCAUUAUCUCCACCUCUCUUCCUAAUCGACGAGUAUGAUUCUAGCAGAGCAUUCUGUAGGAUGCCCCUUAAAGUUAGGCUGGAUGAAUAGUAAUAUCAGAGAUAAGGGGUUCACUUAGUCCGAUGACCUAGGGUUACAAAUCCUAGCUGGCUUUGUCAGUGGACACAGAGUCCUUCAUGACUCUGCUAUCUUUGUCUUGUACGACUAGUCCUCCAUGGGUCUCCCUAAAUGCGUCACGGGCCGACCAAUGUGGCGCAGGACGGAACCGAACCAAUGGCCUCACCUCGGCCCACCGGACCUCACGCGGUGACACACCCUCUGCCCCUAGGUCUGUUAUCUUCUCGCACCCACACAUACCAACACAGACAGCACACACAAAAAUUUCUCCUCGUGCCUCUAUCCCCUCCCCCCUUGCAUAUACACACUCAAGGGCAUCUCUCGCCGUGACAUCAUAUUCGUCUCUCUCUCUAGACCUCUCCCAUUUCUCGUGCUAUCUCUCCCACGCCCCCCGCCGGCCCCUCUAUCCAUGCCUCUCUCGAAUACGUAAUACACACACAUACCUCUCUAGGCCCUGCCAAAUACAUCAACUACACAUUCACACAUGUUACAUCACGUACCCCAUUGAUCUAAAAAGCCCUCUCUUCACGUUUAUUUCGCAUACAACAUUCCUUUUGAAUAAAGUGUGGCCAAAAACUUAUUUCAGAAUUUCUACAUAUAUACAACAUUACAAAGUUAUAUGGAGGAGUAUGAACGCUAAUUUGCAUUGCAUGGUGCCCACAAUGAUAUUUAUUCCGCACUGUGAAUUUUUAUAUUUUUAUACUAUAUAUAAAGUUAGUCAUAAUAAAGAGAAACGAAGAGCGUCUCUCUCUCCAUCGCAUACACCCCCUCUACGCCCCUUUCACGUAUGCACACAAACUAUCUCCAGGUCCUCUAAAAGCACGCCCCCAGCACAUUCAUGCAUGUUUCAUCUUUCUCUCGCGAUAUAUACAGUGACGAUCAUUGUAUUUGAAGCGAAAGAACAAUACGUACAUUGUACUUUAGAAUCCACUCAUUACGGUCAUCAUUUACGUUUUGUGGUUAUUAUAGAGUCACAGGCUCACCGUAUAGCUCUGUAUUUGCUCAAGACACGACUAGUUGACCAGUUAAACGCUCCACAUGGCACCUCUAGUGUUGCAUCACAUUGUCUCACUACCAUUGGGCCCACCUGUCGGCGUGUAUCUACUCUACACUCUUAUAAAAAACAGAGUUGGUGAUGAUGGUGUGCCUGCCAUCCUGCAAUAUAGGACAUCCGAUUUAUAUCUGACAGAUAGGAAGGAAACUAUGGCAAUUUUGCAAAAAGGUACCCACACAACUCUCCACAUUUGCAAAUAAAGCCUUCCCUCUUUCAUCCUUUUCCCUCACAAGAUAAACUACUCAUACAAAUGCAUCUUGAUGUUACGUGCAACGCACGGGCAUCUUGCUAGUAAGAAUGAAAACAAACGAUAAAAAAUAUUGGACGGUGGUUCGAAGUCAUGACCGUGGGCACAACGGACAGGGUGACCUUGUAUUCGUAUGCUGAGCCGUCUGUUUCAACACACAGGAGCUGGUGUGGUGAUUAUACACACACACACACGCAUGCACACGAACUGCAUGCACGCAACACUCACACGAACACACGCAGCCACACACGCAACACUCACACGUACACACGUAGCCACGCACGCACGCAACACUCACACGCACACAUGCACGCAUGCAUGCACACACCACACGACCAACAGACACUCUCACGCUCAAGUGCUCAACCUACACGUGCAUACGCACACAUCAGGCCCUGACAAACACAUACACAACCAGGUGGUUCCCACACACGGGUUGGAGUCUUGUCACACCUGCGUAAAUUUGUGUUUAUCUGACCUUUUUCCUAUGCGAACUGACAGGUGGGACCCACAAGGAACAUGGUCAAUUUAACUAGUCAACAUAGUGCCACACAGACUAUUUGGCCGGUCAACACAGUGCAAUCCAAUUCUGAACAGUGAGCAAAUGACCGUAUAAUCACCGCAAAACGUAUAUAGUGACCGUAAUGAGCGUAUUCUGAAGUUCGGUGACCGUAUUACGCUUUUCUCCCUGUAGGCCCUCCAAAACUACAUCUCUACACGUUCUCGCAUGUUACAUCUAACAACUAUGCAAUACAGCAGUACUACUACCCUGUAACACAAUAAAUCAUAUGUGUUUUUAGUUUUACUAGAUCUCAUAUUGUUACUUAAUUAUUCAAUUUGCAUACAUUAAAAUUGCCUUUGAAAUGUAUGGCCAGUAUCAUCUACCGCGCGAAAAAAUCCGGCCCUUUCCUGUUUAAUCGGGUUUGUAUCGAUGGAUCGUGCGAAACAACAAAACUAUAGUAGUACUACAGUACAAGUAAUAGUUUGCUGGCCGCCGUGUCGUGUACUCCUCCGUCGUAAGAGUGGAGCGCUCGCUUUCAUAAAUGUUCUAGUCCCUUUCACCGACAUGUGGGACAUCAAGCUACCGGGUCCACGUGCCAUACCGGAAUACAGUGCAGAGCAGCAGGGGUGAAGCACCCCAGUCAUGGUGCCGGCAUAGUAAUGAGCAAUGAGGCAUCAAAUCACAAAGCUGCACCUUUCCCGCAGUUAACUUGGAGGGACGAAGUAAUAAUGCUAAAAGAAGAAGUUGGAGGGAUGAAGCAACCAUCAUUUCACUCAUUGCUGAAUCCGCUUCUCCCUCAUCUUCUUCAAGUUAACCACGUGUUGCUUCUGCCGUUGUUCUACCUCAUGUGGGAUGCGGAUCAGUUUGGUAAAGCACUGACACGUGGGACCGCAUGUUAGCAAACUGCCAGGCCAACGUCCUCUAAAAAUAAGAAACCUCCCGCGCCAUUCGCGUGGGAAAAUCACCUCCUUUUUACUAAUCUUGAUACUAUAAUUUUUUAGAUCAAUAUAAUUGAGAUUUGUAUAGACAGCACACAGGAGCAAAACCAAGUGGUACGGUUAAGGGCAUCCACAGUGUGUAGCCAAAUGUGAAAAUAGCUUUUGGCAUCGAUGGGAACCAUUGUGGACGGUGCUGCCAAAGCCAAAAAGAUGGAACCGAAGCUCCCUGAUUGAUUGAUUGAAGGAAUAGAAAAUUGCAACGUCUCUCCUCUUUCUCCCGUGCUUGGACGCAUGUACAUGAUAGAGCACAGAGUCUACUCCCCUGUCCCUUCUAUCACAAAUCACAAAGCAGCGAGGCGUCAAAUCACAAAGCACGAACGAAGCAACCAUCAUUUCACUCUUCGCUGACUCCGCUUCUCCAUCGUCUUCUUCGAGAAACCACCUCACCGCACUAAGCUGGACGGACGAUGCUAUUGUGUACUAGUACUAGUACAUUUACGCGUCCUUUGGUUCAACGGACUUCCUAGAUGCAAAUAAGGUGGUUGUCUCGGCUUGCAGGCGGCACUUGCGAACGACUUACCGUGGUCUCCCUCAAUGGUGUUCUCCAUCGAACGCACUUCGCCAAACCACAGCGUUCAAGAUAUCGUCGAUGUCACCGCAAUGGGGAAGGAAGUCAAAUAGUUACUACCUCCAUUUUUUUGUACACAAGGCCAGUAUAUCAAAAUUACAAUUUGUAGAAGGCCACUAACACUAAUCGAGGCAAAAUUGACGGGGUUUGCCUCGUACUAGCAACCAAGGACAUUAACAUACCAUUGCAUGCAUGCGGAAGUGAGAAGGUUGGUUUGCAUGGCGCUGCAUUUAUCAAGCGACGAGGAGUGAGAUGGUUAGCUCUUUGGGCUUUGGAGAAAAAAAUACGCAUUAAUUGACACAUCAAACGAGGAUUUGUAUCGAUUAAUCCUGCGAACGAAAACCCCGCCUUUAUUUUUUAACACUAGUACUCCAACGUACGUACUUGUAUCCUGUUUGGGUCUAGGCCUUGCAUUGCCAUACUUCGCCACACAUUUUUGCCAAGAUUGCCUAAAGUUUUCAAAAUGAAAAGGAGGUACAUUUGCGCACGGCUGUCGCGGUCGCACCGCACCCUCACACAGUCGCUCCUGCACGCCGCGGUCGCACCGCACCUUCAUAUAGUCGCUCCUGCAUGCCGCAAACCCAACCAAGGGAACGCACCCUCACUGACACGUGCUACCGCAUGUGAUCAAACCAAACUCAGCCAUCCUACCGCUGACACAUAAUUUUCGUUCAUACAAUAUGUUUAUCCAACCGCAUGUUGGGGAAGAUCCGUACGGCCCGUGCGAUGGUUUGUUGGGGAAGAAGAAGAGGUGAGGAAGAAGGGUUAGGAGAUGUAGGAUAUUCAUCCAACCGCCUGAAAUGGUCGACUGACCCAAAUGAUGAAAGUCAGGCGACUUGCAUAAAUAUAUGUUUUACACAGCAAAACAUCCCUAAAAACAACAACAUAAAGAAAAACUAUCACUACUCGCGGAACGAGACUGCCUCGUCGUCUUUGGCUGCCGGUGCGAACCAGCCGUACACUACAAAAAACGACACUUCCGUGAUGAUACGUGUUUGUCACAGUAGGUCACGUUUUCUAUCAUGCAUGUACAUCCAUGACGAUUUUAUGACAGAAUCAAGAUAUCAUACCUGUGCUGUCGUAGAAGUGUUCCAUGACAUUACCAAAAUUAUCAUCACGGAAGUGUCCACUUCCAUGAUGAUAAAUCACGCGUCAAAGAAGUGCUUUCGUCAAGGGUGACCGACACGUGGCAUCCACCGUAACGGGUCGCCGUUAAGCUAUCGGGUCCGGUUUUGGAUCCGAUAACCCGUUAACAGCCCGGACCAAUUGGAAAUUUCCACGUGUAAAAUUCUGAUUGGCUGGAGGAAACACGUGUCAGCUCGUCAGUGGGUCAGAUAGGCGCCUAUGAUAUGUCGACAUGUGCGCCGGCCCACCACUGGCCCAUUUAGCUUACAAAGGCCGGCCAGUUUUACUUAGUCAAAAGUUAGCGGGCUGGCCCAUGAAAAGCCUGUUAACGGUCUCUUUGCAAAUAACCCAUUUUACGGCCCGGUAACUCACGGCCCGUGAGGGCCUACCCGAAAUCGGCCCAACAACGUCAUGUGGGCCGUCGAAUAUAACACCAGCCCGUUUCACUUUCGGCCCAUGUAUGGCCCGUGACGUCUUUCGGCCCAUAUUGAGGCCUUCGUAUCUUUAGGCCCUUUAGAGGCCCACGGUGACUCUAGCCCAUAAUGAACAGUAAUUUUCUUUGUACCCAUUAACGGCCCAUGAUUCACAUGGGACAUUUCCAGCCCGUGUUAGCUUUCGGCCUACUGACGACCCAUACGUUCUUGGGCUCUUUUUCGGCCCUCGAUUUCUUCCGACCCGUUACUGGCCUGUUCCCCUAGUGGGCCAAAUUCGGCACGUGGCAAGAGUCGGCCCGUUUCUGGCCUGUUAACCCGUUGCGCCGUUUACAGCCCGUCCUAUAUUCUGGCCCAUUAACGAACUGUUAUGCCUAUGACAGAAUUAAGCCUUUGCUGUCCUCCGGCCUGUUAACGGCCCGUUACCGUGCUGGGUCGAUACCAAUUACGACCGUUUACGGCCCAUGUUGACCCAUUUAUCUGAUGGCCCGAGGCCCACCGAUUCUACGGCCCUGUUGGAGGCCCAUUUAUAGAUGGCCCAUAGGAGGCCCAUGGAUCCUACGGCCUGUAGCAGGGUCAAGGUUACCACGGUCCGUAUAUGGCCCAUGGUUGUUGCGGCCACUAGCAAACCAGGGAAAAAUAAGACUAGGAAAUAAAUAAGCCCGAAACUAACGCUAGGCUAUUAAGGCGAUUGCACAGAUUACAUCCACUCGGCAUCAAAGAUCGCCACCAGUGCAAAUAUAGGGAACACCCUACACUAUACAAAAAUGGCUUGCUAUUUUUUUCAGCCGGUGGCUGCAUGUUAAGAACAAAUUUUGUAUCGCAACAAAACAAAUUACAACUGUAAAACAAAAGGAAGGUUGGCAUAAAAGUUAACAGUCUGGCAGAUAAAUGCACCACCAGAAGUUCAAAAGCUCGGUUCAUUUGACCUGACUGUUACGUUUUCAUGUUGUAUUGUCCGAUGGAGCACCAUAACCUUCGCCUUCAUUUCUCCUAGGCUCCUAAACAACAUAGCAAAUGUCUGAUAGUCUGGUUUCAAAACCAUGCAUAUCUUGACAACAUCGAACGAUGUCUGUCCUUCUUUCACAAAGGGUCUGUGUUAGGUAAUGGACUUGUGUCUGGAGCGCAGAUAUAACAUUGUUUUGAGCUUGCAUAUCUUGAUCAUGAGGCAGUUUGGACGACAUUGCCUUAACAACCAACCCAGUAUUACGCAGGAACGUGCUUUUGGCAUUGUUAGUGGAGAGGUCCUGACCCACUGCAUCAAGAGGUGACAUUGCGGUUAUAGUUGCCUCGCCACCUUCAAAAGGUGGCGGUUCCACCAUUUUUUCCAUAGCUUGCUGAAAAGUUGAGUUUUUACAUUAGUAGUACCAGAACUGAAGAUAUUAAGGAGGAAGCAAAAUCAAACAAAAUAGCUUUGGUCUAUAUACAGAACUUAUUCUGGUGAACCCAUGUAAAAUAUUAGUUGUAUUUUACUGCAAAGUACAUAAUAAAACUAGGUUCCAAACAUAUGACCAUGUACCAUGGCUAAUGUAUUGUCUAUUUCUUCACAUUGUAUUGACAGCUAAGGAUAAAGAGACAAAGUUUAUAAUAUGGUAAGCAUAGUAUGACAUCAUUCAUAUCACAAAACAACUGAGAACAAACAAACAAACAAUUGUAACGUUGUGUGGGCAAGUCCAGCACGGAACCAGAUUAUAGAUCAAGAUCAAAGGAACAUCAAUCCUCUCUUUUAAACCUUAUAAGGUGCAAUGAUACGCUAAGACAAUUGUGUAUAAAAUUGAAAAGAGUAAUAGACAUUGGCUGCAAACCAUGCAGUUCAAGGCACGAGUCAGAGUAAGUAGUAGUUAAAAGGCAUGAGGAUUAAGGACUUACAACAGCAUCUUUGACUGGUGUAGUCAUGCCCUUCGUCUUGCUGGUGUGACAGUCCUUGAAGAUUUCCACAACAUUUGGUUCAGGUACUUUUUGGUCCUUGCGGGCUUUCCUCUUCAUUUGGAAGAAGUCAAUAUAGAUCUGAUAAUAUGGUAGACCGAAAAGAGUGAAACAACAGAUAAUUACAAGAGCCUCGCAGUGUGCAAUAUAGCUACGAGAUCCUGUCGUCUGUUGGAAUUUCACUUUCGUACGGUUGGCCUUGUUCUUUGAAUAGUUCACCUACAAGAAGAUAGAUUUGUGUGGCACAUGCGUAAAUAGGACUUCAACAUGUGAUCUGAUCACACAUAUAUAAUGUACCUGAUACUUCGGAUCAGACCAGUGUUUAACGAGGCCACUCCAGUCUUCAUCCGAUAUAUUUUCCACUGGAGAAGUUUGGGCAAGUUCACUGUUAGCCUUGCCUUCAAAGCGAGUUUUCCUCAAGUUAUACCGAUACUAUCGCAGAGCAGACUUGAAAACAUGGGUGCAAGCUUGUCUGGUUGCAUCAUCUUGGCUAUCCAACUUGAACCUCAUCUGUUGAAAAUUAUGGGAGUCUCAUUAUCAGCAACCUAGAAAGUAUGGGACAGAGCAAGAAAAUAUUACUAGUUUCCAUACAUAACCAUACUUACAGAUAAAUGGUCGAGGAAGGUGUUGAACUGGGUUUCAUCUUUGUCAUUCCUGUACUGAAUCCAUGUUGGGAGGAUACGUACAUGACACCUAACGGCAACCGCUGCCUCUGAUACUAACUUGGCUGACUCUGUAGCAUCACGUGGCCUUUUUAAACCUGCCUCAAAACGGAUUUCCAUUCUUCCUCCUCUAGAUUUAGUUAACCUAUCGAGCAUUAUCCCUAAUGUUUGUUUCCUCUUGCGACUAGGUGCUAGUCCAACAACGAACAUAGGAAGUGUUAGUGUACAUCAAACUGUGAGAUUACAUAUAAAUAAGCACGCAACUGUAACUUGACUCUAGCAACUACUCCCUCCAUCCGAAAAUACUUGUCGGGGAAAUGGAUGAAUCUAGACGUAUUUUAGUUAUAGAUACAUCCAAUUUUAUCCAUUUCUCCGACAAGUAUUUUGGGACGGAGGGAGUACCUUCUUCAUGUAGAAGCUCACAAAGCUCAUCUGAUCUUGCCAACUCAUCUUGUGUCAAGAGUGCUUCGGAAGUAGUGUCAGGUGGCAAGGGAGCUUGGGAACGUGCUGCUAGCUGAGUUGACCAACGAGUAACUCGUGCAGCUGGUGGUACUGUGGAAGGUGUUGCAACAACUAGGGUUGUCUCUGCUUGUUUGGUGGCAGCUAUUUGUUUCUGUUUGGCUUGUUCUGCAGCUCGUGUAGCACGGGAUACCCUGUUUGUACAAUUUUCCGCUGGACUUUGACCUUCUAUUGCACCAUCAGUACUAGCAGAAUCUGCAGGAUUCUUCCGCUUCCCUUUCCUAGUCAUUCUGUGUUGCUUCCUCUUUCUGUGUGCCAUGUUAAGUCAAGCCGACAAGAAAAAGAAUAACAAUUUAGUUCUUCAGAACAAAUUGAUGUGUGAUACAGAUGAACUGAACUUUGAUGUUAGACAACCACAUGAUAGGAGGAUGUAAUAUGUACGAAAAACGGGACGGCAUGAGAUAACCAGAACUAUGAUGUGUAAACUAAGCAGAAGACAUUUCACUAAAUUAGAAGCAAUGCAAUGGAAGUUAGACACCAUAUGAAAGAUGUUACAAAUAUCGCUCUGCCAAGUUAACAGUGUCUCAUCAUAAAUGGCGUUUAAAAAAAAUGUGAAGCAGUACAAGAAAUAAAUCAUAUGCAAGAUGCAAACAACAUCACACUACCAACUUAAAGGUCUCUCGUCAUUAGUGCCAUUGCAUAUUCACAGCAUCACAUAUUCACAGCUUAUGAUGUGUAAACUAAGGAGAAGGCAUUUCAACAAAUUAGAAGCAAUGAAAGCUAGACACCAUAUGAAAGAUGCAACGAAUAUCACUCUACCAAGUUAAAAUUGUCUCGUCAUAAGUGCCAUUUCAACAAAUUAAAAGUAGUACAAGCUAGAAAAGAAUGCGAGAUGUAACCUAUAUCGCAUUCCCAAGUCAAACGUGUCUUAUGAUAAGUGAUUGUUGCAGGUUACACAACAGUAGUACUUUGAUGUAAGAACAUGGUGUGAUAGACAUAUAUUGUAUGUUCUAGAAACAGGAACACGUGUCUUAUUCACAAGUAUAAUGUGUAAAGUAAGCAGAUGGAAUUCAACAAAAUUAGAAGCAAUACAAGCUAGACAUCAUACAUAACAUGCAACCACAUAUAACGGUGCCAAGUUAGAGGGAGCACCUGUGAUGGUGCACUAGGGGAGACGUGCUCAUCAUAAACACAACUACAUGGAGUGUCUAUUUAUGUGUUGUCUUGGAAAUCAUCUUGGGGGGAUGGAGGAGUAGAAUCUGUAGAGGCCCUCAGUUUGGAAGGAGAACCUUUAUCCGCUGCCUUGCUAACUUACUUCCGCUUUAUUGAUUUUGAAUUGUCAAGUAAAACUGACAAGAAAAAGCAAUAAAAUUCACACUUCAGAACUCAUUCGUGCAUGAUACUAACAAUCACUACUUUGAUGUAAGGCAAACACAUGAUACCAGUGUGGAAUAAUACAAAAAACAUGACGACAUGGCAUAUUCACAACUGUUUGUGUAAACUAAGCUGAAACCAUUUCCACAAAUAAGAAGCAAUGCAAGCUAGACACCACAUGAAAGAUGCAACCAAUAUGACUCUGCCAAGUUAAAAGCUUCCCAUCAUAAAUCGCAUUUCAACAAAUUAGAAGCAGCGCUUGCUAUAAAUCAUAUGAAAGAUGCAACUAAUAUCACACUGCAUAUACUAAAGGUGUCUCGUCAUAUUGAGUGAUGCGGGAUACAAAAAAACAAUAGCUUUAUGUAAGGACAUGCUUAAUAGACAGAUGUACUAUGUACUAAAAACAGGAAGGCAUGUCACAUUAACAGGUAUAAUGUAUAAACUAAGCAGAAUAUCACAUGCAAUUUAACCAGAUUGGAUGAAUUACAAUCUAGACACCAUAUGCAACAUGCAACCAUAUAUCACGCUGCCAAGUUAGAGCAAGCACCUGUGAUGCUAGUGUAGGGGAAAUGCGGUAAUCAACUAUAGAGCUACGUUCACUAUCUUCAUCUAGCCUUGCUGUUUCUUGAGAAUCAUGUGGGGAGGCUGACGCUGCAAUCUUUAAAUGAGGAUCUUUUCUCACAGUAGUCCACUGGCCUGACUGCCUCAUCAUAAGUGAUUGAUGAGGGAUACACAAGAACAUUAGUUUGAUGUAAGAACAUGGUUAAUAGACAAAUGUACUAGUAUGUACCAAAAACAGGAAGGCAUGUCAUAUUCAAAGGUAUAGUGUGUAAGCUAAGUAGAUGCAAUUUAACCAAAUUGGAAGCAAUACAAGCCAGACAUCUGGCUGGAGUGGUGAGCAUGAUCAUAUAGGACGUGAGAGCCUGGUGGGAGGCGGGCUGCUUCGCCACCAUCGUGGCUUUUUAGUUGGCUUCCAGGUGAUGACUGUCUGUGCUGGGCUUGUCACUGGCUCGGCCAGUGCCCUGACUAGCUAUUUGACUUCUGGUGCUCCCGGGAUGGUGGUUCAUGUAAAAAAUAGCUUUCCUUAUCUUAAUAAAGACCGACUUCGGCCUUUCGAAUACAAGCUAGACACCAUAUGCAACAUGCAACCACAUAUGACACCGCGAAGUUAAAGCAGGCACCUGGGAUGGUGGUUCAUUGGGAGCAAGAUUGUCAAAUCCAGAGCUACGUUUACCAUCUCCAUCUGCUGACACUGCACCCUUUAAAGUGCUGAAAUGUGUCUGGCCUACCCGCGUACAAAGCUGGAGCAAUUUCUCUCUUUUCUUUUCUGCUUCUGUGAAGGCAGAGUCUGAAAUACCCUUGCAUAAAAACACAAUAAUGAGAGUAUGGGUGAAGUGUGUGCAGAACUAGUGCACUGUAAAAGUAGCAGAUAGCAGGUGGCUGAAAAAUAAAUGAGAGGAGACAUAUGAUAGCUCUACAACAUUGCAUGGCAAACAAAAUUAGAUUCUACUCUAUAUGAUUUUGUAAUAUAUGAGCACAGGAAAUGCAUGUACUCCUCCAGCACACCACCACAUGUGGUCCUAUCAAGAUAACAAUCGACUGAAAAUAAAUAGGUCAGUCGAUUUUUUAUGAACCCCCCGAUCUAUAGGGAACGGGCAGAUGGCCUUCGUCUACCUCCCGCCAGUCACUAUUGACGAUCUUUCUCGAACCGCCAACGACCACCGGCCUAGACCCCUGCCUCCGCCGCCCCGCCCUCCCCUCGACCUCACACCACCGCCAUUGUCGGAUCUCGGGUUCCGGCAAAACCCUUAAGGUUCGAACUCUGGGGUGCGCGCGAAGAUCUCUCCCUCACAGAUCACGCCCUCACACGCUUCGCGAUCUCUAGGCUAGCUCGACGAACUCGCAACACAAGGGACACAAGAUUUAUACUGGUACGGGCCACCGUUGUGGUGUAAUACCCUACUCCAGUGUGGUGGUGGUGGAUUGCCUCUUGGGUUGAGGAUGAACAGUACAAGGGGAAGAACAGCCUCCUGAGGCGAGCUAUUCUUGUGCUUGGUGAACUUGUGUCGGUGAGGAUUACUCAAGAUGAGAUCGGGCUUAGUUGCCUCCUACUAUGGUGGCUAGUCCUAUUUAUAGAGGCCCUGGCCCUCUUCCCAAAUAUUGAGCGGGAAGGGAGCCAACAACGGCAAUUUGAAAGGGGACAACUAGUACAAGCUAUCCUGACAAAAGCAGUCUUCGCCUGCAAAAGGCUCUGGCCGUGACGCUGUCUUGGGCUCCACGGUGACCUCCGUCCUGCCGUCAUGCUGGUCUUGGUCUCGUUGCACCGAUAUGGCAACCUUUGCUUGACGCCUCGGUACUCCUCGCCUGUGCUUGCCUCCUUAGCACCAAAGAAAAAACAAGGACACUGUGCGUGCUGGUGCCCGCCUGGUCUCGAUCGUCACGGCUCACGUCACUGGAACCUCGCGAGGUUUGCCUUGCCUUGAUAUCUCCGCCCCUCGCGAGCCAGCCUGGUGAGGCCACUCCCGAGGAGGUCUUGUGUCGUCCGCCUCGCGAGGCUUGGCCCCUCGCGAGGGUCUUGAAAGCUUGUCGGUGAAGAUGGGCCGUACGGGCCCGCUCGCAGAGCCACGCCGUGGGCCGCAGGCAAGCAAGUCUGGGGACCCCCGUUCCCAGAACACCGACAGUAUCCCCCGGGCCCAAGGCGCGCUCGGACAUGGCUUCGAGGCGAAGCCAAAGGGCAAGUGCGGAGCACCGCGGGCCCCAACAGCCUGCGGCCUUGGUCGAUGCGUGGCGGUUGAUUGGACGUGGGCGUCUCCGCUUCCCCACGCUGCCUCGGCAACUGCCCGACUUGACAAGUCCCUGGGAGAUGCAAGGAAAAACCAUCAUUACCUGUGAUCGUGGGGGCGCUGGUUGGCCUUCUCCUGCUAUAAAUGGGGAGUGGGGCAGAGCCCCCAUUGACCGUCUCUUCCUGCUCCACUUGCUUCUCCUCCCUAGCCCCAUUGCUAGCAGCGGCACCAAUGGCGCUGUCGAAGGGGUUCUCCGCCGCGGAGAAGGGGAAGGCCCCUCGCGAAGGGCCCGACUCUCCGAUGCCCAAGCGCGGACGUGGCCGUCCCCGCAAGCACACCGCGACCCCCCACGGCCGCGGCGGUGCUGCUUCGCGUGGCAGGGGUCGCUCCGGCCGCGACAGCCCUGUUGAUGAAGGGAGACGCGCCGUGGUCGCACGGCCUCCCCGGCCGCGCUUCCACUCGGUGAAGGUGCUGACGGAGUUCGUUGUCUGGUUGGAGGACCCGGCCGGCAACUGGCUUCAGCUCCCGCGCUUCUUCGUUGACGAGCUGCCGGCCGCAGGUCCAGGCGGACGGCUGCUGUAGCAGGGCUUCCUGGGUCACGGUUGAGGUCUCUAUCGCGGGCAACAUAGCCCUGGCCCACGGCUGGCAGGCAUUUGCCUGUGCGCGCGGCCUGGGCAGCUGGUGCACCCUUCAUUUCAAGUACGACGGCGAUGCGACCCUCUACGUGAGGGUGUUUGGGGAAGAUGGUCGCCGCGCCGGAUGCUGCCCUGAGGUCAACGACGGCGGCGAGGUGCUCGGCCUUGGCGAUGGUCGUGACGAGGAUGAGGGCGAACCUGCCCUUGGCGUCGACCGCGUCUCGUCCAGCUAUGGCGGCUCUUCCCCCGGCGACAGCUCCAGCAGCGGUGGUUACGACCAGCCGCCGCGCCCGCUUCAAAGGUGGCAGCGGGUCAUCUCGUCAUUGCGCUCCUGUGAAGCGCGAGGAGGGGUCUAGCUGAGCUUGGGUCAGCACCAAGGGUCUGCCUUCGCGGUCCACCACAGGGGCACGCGCCGCUUUUAUCUUGUUCUUCCUUUCCUUCCUGUAUUAAGAAAGAAACCGGUAUGGGGCCCCGGAGGGGCGUGCAACGAACUAUGAUUUCCCAGUUAUUAUGCUAUGUUCAUCGUUGUUUUAUGUAAGGAUAACUUAGCUUGACGUGCUUGGAGCAGUCUCCUCUCCAUGAGAUGCUCGCUUCUUGGUGCCUGGCGAGGCCCCCUUGGCCUGGUAGACGCUUAGAAACUGCAGAAAAAACUCGUUAGGAGGCUUAACGUUUCCCGAGCCUUGGUCGCAGGCGCCGCCGGCCUUGACCCUGCGCUUUGUAUCGCGGUACCCAUGGGGCACAGAUUAUAAGAAGUGCGCCAGCUUGUGGGCUCGAACGACGGUGCCUCGCGAAAAGCAGACGAAAGGCAGAACAAGAAAAAACGCUCACGAGGGAAGGAAAACGUUCACGAGGGCACCUGUCCAGCCCCCUCGCGAGGAAUGCGAGAGAGAGUACAGGCCAAGCCAAAGACGGAAAUAGAGGUAGAAGGCAACGGAACCAAAUCAGCCGAGAACACCCGAAGCAAACUUCAAUUAAAGAGGGGCGAGCCAACUAAGGAAAGCAAAUGAAAAGCCGCGUCCAGCACCUAGUCUAGUCUUCAAGUCUUCUCACCAGCACGGAGCUAAGUGCUGCCACUAGGACGUGGGAGGGAGCCCCCGAGGCCCGAGGGCGGCACUCCUGAGACUACGGGGCGUGUACAUCCCCACUCAUUAUUAUGUGAGAGUGUCAUGAGCGGAGACCUUCACAGGCACUGGGCCUUCUUCACAGGCGCUGGGCCUUUCUUUAUGGGUAGAACUUCCGGAGGUGUUGGAUGUUCUAGGUGUUCUAGAUGGGUACCCCGUCCUGUGUCUCCAGGCGCGCGACGCUAGGCCUGGAGACAUGGACGACCUUGAAUGGGCCCUCCCACACGGGUGAGAGCUUAUGCAGCCCUUCCCUGGAGAGGACCCGCCUCAGGACGAGGUCACCCACCUCGAGCGUCCUGGGGCAGAUGUUGCGGCAGUGGUACUGCCGUAGCGCCUGCUGAUACCUUGCCGCCCGCAGUGCAGCUUCGCGGCGGCAUUCCUCCCCCAGCACGAGGUCCAUCCCCCGCGUGGCGUCCUGCUGCGUUUCAUCAAACGCCAGGACCCGUGUGGAGCGAUGCUUGACCUCGUGAGGGAGGGCCGCUUCUGCUCCGUAGACGAGGAAGAACGGGGUCUCGCCCAUUGGCUUGGUGGCGGUGGUGCGGAUGGACCACAGCACGGACUGGAGCUCGUCAUACCAGCCCCUGCCGCAGGCCUCGAGCUUCUUCUUGAAGGUCCUGGUCUUGAGGCCCCUCAGGACAUCUGCGUUGGCGCGUUUGGCCUGUCCAUUGCUCCUGGGGUGCACCACCGAAGCGUAGCAGAUCUGCGUUCCAAGGUUAGCACAAUAUGUCCUAAAGAGAUUACUAGUGAACUGCGAGCCGUUAUCAGUGAUGAUGCGGUUGGGGACCCCGAAAUGGCUCACGAGACCCUUGAUGAACUUGACCGCGGAGCCAGCUGGGAUGGUGCGGGCGGCUUCUACCUCCGCCCACUUGGUGAGCUUGUCGAUGGCGACGUAGAGGUAGCGGUAGCCCCCGGGCGCUCGAGGAAACGGGCCCAAGAUAUCCAGCCCCCAGACCGCGAACGGCCAUGUGAGUGCGAUGGUUUGGAGGCCCUGAGCCGGCUGAUGAAUCUGCUUGGCGUGGAACUGGCAGGCCUCGCAAGACUUCACCAGUUCAGUCGCGUCGUUGAGUGUCGUGGGCCAGUAGAAUCCACUGCAAAACACCUUGCCGACGAGGGUUCGUGAUGAUGAGUGGUGCCCGCAGUCCCCGCCGUGUAUGUCGGCCAGCAACUCUCUUCCUUGCUCCCUAGAGAUGCAACGUAGGGAAACGUCAUUUGGCCGCUUCCUGUAUAACUCACCGUCCCGGAUGCAAUAUGCCGUGGCUUGUCGGGCCACACGCUGCAUGUCUUCCUCCUCUUCCGGCAGCGUCCCUUGCGUCAGGUAUUCCUUUAAUUCCUUGAUCCAGCAUCCCUCCUGAGGUUCGAGCGCCAAGAGCAAGCGCGCUCCUGAGGUCGGGCCGCAGGCCGGGGCUCCUGAGGCAGGUGGUUGAGGGAGCUCCUCGCGAGGCAGCGCUGUCCUUGAGAGCGGUGGCGUUGCUGAUGGCUUGAAGAGCCGCUCCUCAAAGACGCCAGGCUCUUGGGGUAGCCGCUUGGAUGCUCUUCUGGCGAUGUCGUCAGCUUCCUUGUUGGUGCCACGGGCACAUGCUGUAACUCCAGACCUGAGAACUGCUUCUCCAUCUUGCGCACCUCCGCGAGGUAUGCCUCCAUGUGCUCGUCCUUUGGCUCAUAAACCUUGUUGGAGAAGUUGACGAGGAGCUGCGAGUCGCCCUUGAUGGUGAGUCGCCUCACCCCCAGGGCCACCGCAGCCCUGAGGCCAGCUAUGAGGCCUUCGUACUCUGCUAUGUUUUUGGAGACCUUCUCGCCCUGCUGGAAGCAGAGCUGCACAGCGUAGUAGAGCUUGUCCUGGGUGGGCGAGAUGAGCACCGCUCCAGCCCCCGCGCCCUGGCGUGAGAAUGCGCCGUCGAAGUACAUGACCCAGCCGUCCGGCGCCUCGCUUCCUGGAGAUAGGGAUUGGUCCUCACCUGCUUCGAGCUCUGGGGCGUCGGUCCAUUCAGCCACAAAGUGUGCAAGCGCGGCCCCUUGAUGACCCUAGUUGUGCUGAACUCCAAGUCAAACGCUUGCAGCUCGAUGUUCCAUUGAGCGACUCACCCGGCAGCAUUGGGGCUCCUGAGCACUCUUUCCAGUGGGUAAGCCGAGACGACCUUGAUGGGGUGACCCUGGAAGUAGUGGCGCAGCUUGCGCGAGGCCACCAGGAGCGCGAGCAGGAUCUUCUGAGGCAUGGGGUACCAUGCCCUCGCAUCCCGCAUCACUGUGCUGACAAAGUACAUCGGGUGCUCGACGAGGGCGGGAGAGCCGACGAAGUAUUCGGCUUCCGGGAGCUGAGGUGUCUCUGCGAGGGCUUUAUCUUCAGGGGCUUGGUGGUCCGCUGAAGCAGCAGCUGCUUCAGGAGCUUCGCCUUGGUGUCGCACCGCUUCGUCCGGCCCUGUGGUUCCCCCUAGCGGGCCCUUGAUCUGGCGCUCUUCUCUGAGGGCCACCAGCGCUGCGCUGGCGGAGUGGGGUGUGGCAGACAGGUAGAGCACCAAGGGCUCGAGGGGUCGAUGCGCCACCAUCACUGGCGGGCUGGUCAGGUAUCUCUUGAAGUCUUGAAAUGCUUGGUCGGCCUCUAGAGUCCACUCGAAUGGGCCCUUUUUCUUCAUCAGCUUGAAGAACGGUAGGGCACGCUCUCCCAGCUUGGAGAUAAAGCGGCCCAACGCAGUCACACGACCAGUAAGCUUUUACAUCUCCUUGAGGGUCUGCGGCGGGCUCAUGUCUUCGAUUGCCUUGACCUUCUCUGGGUUCGCCUCGAUCCCUCUGUGGGAUACGAGGAAACCCAGCAGCUUGCCGGAAGGGACACCGAACACGCACUUCUCCUGGUUGAGCCGUAAGUUCACCUGGCAUAGGCUUGCGAAAGUCUCCUCCAGAUCUUGGAUCAAGGUUCUUGCCUCCCGAGACUUCACCAUGAUGUCGUCGACAUAGGCCUGUGCGUUUCUCCCGAGCUGCCGCCCUAAGGCGAUGUGCAUCAGCCGCUGAAAGGUCACGCCUGCAUUGCGCAGUCCGAAUGGCAUGCAAGUAUAGCAGUACACCCCACACGGGGUCAGGAAGGCGGUCUUCUCCACAUCUUCUACCGCCAUCUUGAUCUGGUGGUAGCCCGAGAACGCAUCUAGGAAGCACAUCAAAUCACACUCUGCGGUGGAUUCGACGAUCUGGUCGAUGCGUGGAAGCGGGAAGGGAUCUUGGGGGUAGGCUUUGUUGAGGUUGGUGAAGUCGACACACAUGCGCUCCUUCCCACCUUUCUUCGGCACAACAACGGGGUUCGCCAGCCACUCGGGGUACCGAACUUCGCGAAUGGCACCCGCCGCCUCCAGCUUGCGGGUUUCUUGGACGAUGAAGGCCUACUUAUCCGUGGACUGUCUUCUCGCCCGCUGCUUCACAGGGCGUACGUUGGGGCACACCCUUAAGUGAUGCUGAAUCACCUCUCUCGGGACCCCCGCCAGCUGCUUGGGUUCCCAUGCGAAUACCUCCUUGUUUGCGCGCAAGAACUUCACCAACGCUUCCUCUUGGUCAGGGUCGAGGUUAACACCUAUGGUAAAGGUGGCUCCCGAGGACCCGUCCUCAUCGACGGGCACCUGCUUGGUUUCUGCCUUGUCUUGGGUGAACAACUGCUUCUUCUUGGUUGGUGCGGCUCCCUUGGCCUCGGAGGCGCCUGCGCCGACGUGCUACGCCGCCGCGGCGGUCUUGAAAGCAAGCUUGAGCGUGAGCAGAGCCUCCUUGGUGUCCCCCUCGACGGUGAGGACGCCCUUGCUCCCAGGCAUCUUCAUGAGGUUGUAAGCCGGAUGGUUUGCUGCCAUUAACUGGGCCAGAGCUGGGUACCCGAGGAUGGCGUUGUACAGGAGGCCGAUGCGGGCGAUGUCGAAGUCGACCAGCUCGGUGCCGUAAUUGACGCGCGUGCCGAAGGUGACAGGAAGGCGGAUCUGCCCCAGGGAGUGGGCGGUGUCGCCGCCAACUCCUGAGAAGGGCUUGCUGAGGCGGAGCCGCUCGAGUGGUAUGUGAAGGAGGCCGAAGGCUUCCACGGAGAGCACGUUGAGGCCGGCGCCACCGUCGAUGAGGGUCUUGGUGACGGCCACAUUGCAGAUGGUGGGAGUGCAAAGUAUUGGGAGCAUACCUGAGCUGGCGGUGGAGACGGGAUGAUCCCCUGAGUCGAAGGUGAGGUCGGCCUCAGGCGCGGCCCAGCCCGGUGGAGCCCCCGGGCGCUUGGAAGCGGCGCCAAUCUGGCGAAGGAACGACUUGAUGUGGCGGUCCGAGGGCGGUGCUUGCGAGCCGCCGAGGAGGGCCGCGACCGCGUGGGGUGCCGGUGCCGCGAAGCGCGCGACGAAGAGAUCGUGCAGCUCCUCCCAAGAUGCCACUGUGGAUCCGGGGAGGUUGAGCAGCCAGGCGCGCGGCACACCGGUCAGGGCCAUGGGGAGACAGUUGACCAUGACCUUGUCGUCGUCUCCGGCGUUGAGGACGGCUUCCUCGUAUGCUAGCAGGAAGGCCACCGGAUCCGCCACGCUGUCGUAGCGCGGCGACAUCUCCGGUUUGAACUUGGAUGGCCAUUGCACCCACCGCAAGGUGGGAGCAAGGGCUCGGAGCCCCCUGGCCCUAUCGCCGGCAUCGGUCGCCGGAGCAGGAAGCACUGCGGUCGCCAUGGGGGCGGAGCGCGGUGGCAGCAUGGAGCAGAUCAAGGGAAGGAAAACUCCGGCGCACCCCUACCUGGCGCGCCAAAUGUCGGAUAUCGGGUUCCGGCAAAACCCUUAAGGUUCAAACUCUGGGGUGCGCGCGAAGAUCUCUCCCUCACAGAUCACGCCCUCACACGCUUCGCGAUCUCUAGGCUAGCUCGACGAACUCGCAACACAAGGGACACAAGAUUUAUACUGGUUCGGGCCACCGUUGUGGUGUAAUACCCUACUCCACUGUGCUGGUGGUGGAUUGCCUCUUGGGCUGAGGAUGAACAGUACAAGGGGAACAACAGCCUCCUGAGGCGAGCUGUUCUUGUGCUCGGUGAACUUGUGUGGGUGAGGAUUGCUCAAGAUGAGAUCGGGCUUAGUUGCCUCCUACUGUGGUGGCUAGUCCUAUUUAUAGAGGCCCUGGUCCUCUUCCCAAAUAUUGAGCGGGAAGGGAGCCAACAACGGCCAAUUUGAAAGGGGACAACUAGUACAAGCUAUCCUGACAAAAGCAGUCUUCGCCUGCAAAAGGCUCUGGCGGUGACUGUCGGUGUCAAAACCGGCGGAUCUCGGGUAGGGGGUCCCGAACUGUGCGUCUAAGGUCGAUGGUAAUAGGGGACAGGGGACACGAUGUUUUGCCAGGUUCGGGCCCUCUCUAUGGAGGUAAUACCCUACUUCCUGCUUGAUUGAUCUUGAUGAAUAUGAGUAUUACAAGAGUUGAUCUACCACGAGAUCGUAAUGGCUAAACCCUAAAAGUCUAGCCUGUAUGACUAAGGUAAUGAGUAUCCCCCCUUCCGGACUAAGUCCUCCGGUUUAUAUAGACACCGGGAGGAUCUAGGGUUACACAAGGUCGGUUACAAAGGAAAAGAAUCUACAUAUUCGGUCACCAAGCUUGCCUUCCACGCCAAGGGAGUCCCAUACGGACACAGGUGCAGUCUUCGGUCUUCGUAUCUUCACAGCCCAUCAGUCCGGCCCAUGGCUAACAGGCCGGACGCCCGAGGACCCCUUAGUCCAGGACUCCCUUAGUAGCCCCUGAACCUGGCUUCAAUGACGAGGAGUCCGGCGCGCAGAUUUGUCUUCGGCAUUGCAAGGCGGGUUCCCUUCUUUCCGAACUCCAAGAUAGUCUCCGAACAUGAUGAUUGUAUCCGGACCUGUAACACACACCACACACAACCGCAGAGAGAACAUAAUAUUCCACGGGUCCAAUCGAUUGACAACAUUUUACAACGUGACAUCACGCCUGCCCGGUCAUGAUUUCGGACCGUUGUUUCGCCUGCGGCCCCGCGUUCCGAAACGUGGUUGUCAUUGACACGUCUUAUCCAAGUGGAGAUCGUGUCCCCUUAUUAAGGGAUUAUUUUAUCGACACGGACGUGGGUAACUCAACCGUCCUUAGGGUACAACUCCUUGGGAAUAGGCAAGGUUUAAGGCCCGGGAGGAGGCGUUCGAUAUUCACAGCCUUUAUAAAGGGGUACAGACCCGUGUUUCUUCUCCACGCUUGCUUCUUCCUCAACCCUUACUACCUCAAGUUCCAACACCCAAGUUUCAAUCUCCGUGAGCCUCAGUCAUGUCCGGACCCAGCCGUCAAGGCCGGUGGUGGCUUCUUCUUUCACAGAGGAGGACAUCGUGAAGCUUCGGGCGGCAAGAUAUCUGACCGCAGAAAUCCUCCAUCGGCUUCCCGGGGAAGGGCAGAUUAUCCCUACCCCUAGAUCCGAUGAGAGGGUCGUGUUCAUUUCCCACUUCCUUCGAGGUUUAGGGUUCGCCCUUAAUCCCUUCGUCUGAGGGCUCAUGUUCUAUUAUGGACUUGAUUUUCACGAUCUCGCCCCGAACUCUGUUCUCCUCAUCUUGGCGUUUAUCGUCACGUGCGAAGCCUUCCUCCGAACUCCUCCACACUUCGGCUUGUGGCUCAAGACCUUCAAUGUGAAACCACAAGUGAUAGAGGGGAGCAGGCGGAGUGCGGUGGUGCCUCAGUGAGCAAGCUUACCAGCGCGAUUUGGCUAAAAGGAUCCUUCAAAGAACCUUCCGACUUAUGGCAGCAGGAGUGGUUCUAUAUCACCGAGCCCCGUGGUUCCAAGUGGGCAGCUGGGCCUGCGUUUCGAUCCAGCCCCCCGAUUCAGUUUGCAUCGUGGAUUAAUAAGGGGUUAGACCGAGGGUCAGUUGACGAGGUGCGAACUCUGCAAAGUCGCAUCCGAAGCCUCAUUGAAAAGGAUAUCAAUAUCGCCAACGUUAUUCACAUAAUGUUAGUCCGCCGGACCCUACCGUGCCAGCGACGGCCUCUCCACCUGUGGGAGUUUAACCCAGAAGGGCCACAGACUCUUCAGAUCUUCUUCGGCACUACGCACGAAGGAAUGUGGGAAUUAUUCUUUGGGAGAUGAAAACAAUGGCCGGACACCACCGAAGAUACUGGCCUAGACUGUAACUAUCCGGACACCCCGGUAAGUACUCAUCCGCCGAACACCUCAUAAUCAGAUAUCCUACGAUAAGAUACUGAGCAAACCAUCCUUUUCCUGGGCUGGAUAAAGAAAGCGGAAUGGAUUAGGUGUCCGGCCCCUCUUCCCGAAGACUCAGCAGACUCCGUGUUAACAUGGAUGCUGGCACCGGCACCGUACCAGAUACCGGCAGGGGAUGGCAAGGUGGAGAGUGAGAAGACCCGGGAUGAACUUCGUUCCAGAGGUAAAUCAGAUACUGAGUCCGGAGAAAUCGACAUUUCCUCGCCCGAAGACGAAGGCGAAAGAGAAGCCAGUAUCCCUUCUCCAUUUAGGACGAAAAGGACCGCCUCCAAAGGUUGGGAGGGGCGGUCUCCUAAGAGAGGCCAGAUGCCACUGUCGAGCGGCUCGGGAUUCGAAGGCGAUGCCAGUGAACAGCUCCGUCAUGAGGACAAGCCCUCGACCAAACCGUAAGUGAAUCCGGGGUACUUUGAUAGCGUCCCGCUUCUUUCCUGUUACCGAAGAGAUACGUAACGUGCCUGUGUAUUUUUACAGUCCGGCAUAGAGUUCUUCUGGGCACUCCUCUUCUUCGGGAGAUCUCCUCCCAGAGAUGAUGGAAAGCGAGACGCCUCCCCCGACCUCCUCACCCAAUAAGGCAGACGACUCCGAAGUGUCAUCUCGGAGGGUUAUUCUUGAUCAACAAGCGGUGCAGGGGAUAAAGGAGGCAGUACCCGAAGGUGGACCUCCAAUCGUUCGGGAUUCGGGGGCCAAUAAUGAAGGCCCCGGACUGUCCGGUUUUCAGCCAACGAUGAUUCUGGAGGCAGGUGAACGGGUUCCUUCAAAGGAUGGUCGUGCUCCCAGAGCGGCUUCCGGAGACCCGGCGACACCGGAUAUAUUGUCGGACAUUCUGCAAAAAGCAUCUGUCUCAGAGGAAUAGCGUACCUUGAUGGGUACGGUGGUUGAGAAGAUUCUGUCCGUGAAGAGCGGAUUGAAUGAAGCCUUCACGAGCCUGCUAAGAGGCUUCGAGGUUUGUAAUAUAAUGUUUUCAACAAUAUUUUAUUUGCAAAGAUGCACCUGUGUAUAGGUAGUAGCCCCUGAGACUCGGGUUGGCUCCACAUGGGAGGCGAAUGGAGGAUCAAGAAUAAAUACUCAAGGACUAAUCUGGUUAACUGAAACACAGGCUGCUUCCUCCCUGGCUACUUCCCAAACUAUGGAUAUUGCCGAGCUACAGCGAAAGCUUGAUGUGGCAGGGGAUGACAUUGCGUUAAUCAAUAUGCGCCUGGACGAGUCGCAAGGUAUGUAUUUGGGGCAGUCCCCUCACAUACAUUUUUGUUAUAUAAGCAUGAUGCUGAAGGUUAUAUACUGGAAUAUGCAUGACUGCAGAUGGUGCUGCCGCCGUUGAAAUUCUUCGGGCGGAGCUGGCCCGGGCCAAGGAGCAGGCCUGGUUUAGUAAUGCGGCUGCCGAGAAGGCAUCAGCUGAGUUGAAAGCUGAACAAGUUGCUCGACGCCAAGACGAGGAGAAGAUAUCCACGAUGAUGCUCGAAUUAAAAAAUGCUGCUAGCCGCUGUGAACUUCUUGAGAAGGAAAAUGAAGCCAAAAUGGCUGAACUUGACAAGGCCUUACGAGAGGCGAGAGAAGCGCAGUCUGAAUCCAGAGCAGCCCGUGAGGAGAUCCGGCAAGCUGGGGAAAUUGCGGCCGGUAAGCCCUUUUUGCUACAGGCUAAGUUUGGUGAUCCGAACUAUGCUCAGCUUAACCAAGUGUGGAGUUCUCCGGACGAGUUUUUAGACUUGCCAAAGAGUUCUUCCGAUGCGGCGCAGUUUCAUCAAGCGCAAGAGGGGUAUGCAACGGAGAAGCUUUUCUGGUCACAAUUUGGUGCGUCAAAGCGCCCUCUGUUGCUGAAUGAACAGAUGUCUCAAUGGGCCGAGCUUCAUAGGAUAUCCAGCGCUGCCAUGAAGAACGUCAUAAGCCGGCUGUGGCCAACUGAGCCUGCUCCGAAUAGCUACUUCGGCUUGGUGCAGCGGCUCGUUGAUGCGGUGCCGCGUGUCAACGUUGUGAAGCGGUCGGCGUGCAUUGAGGGUGCACGGAUGGCCUUUGCCCGUGUCAAGAAAUUCUGGGGGAAGAUGAAGGCCAUCGAUGUUGCGGCUAAGAGUCCACCCAAGGGCAAGGACCCUCACGCACCCGAGCUUUAUUUUGAAGACGUCCUGGAGGCCGCCCGCUUGAUAGAGGGUUAGUGCUCGAAAGACAUAAUAUUCGAGUGAGGUGUAUGAGAAUUGUAAAAGAUAGUUUUAUAGUUAAUCUAUUUUUAUGUUUUGCUCGAAAGCUCAUGUUCCUCCUGUGCGGCCGUUUUAAUAUAAUCUGAAAGUUUUCCAGUCGUCGGCUUCAGCCCCCUCAUAGGAAGUACGGGGAUGUUCGGAAAAGCAUUUAAUCACUCUUGAUCGAACGUCUUGGUCCAUGAAGGAGGUGAUAAUGCGGCGAACCAGGCAAUCAGACUAUAGGGUGUUAACACUUUCACUUAGCCAUAGGAGUUUUAUAGGGGGGACUACGAUAUAGCCCCUGGCAUGCGUACGGCUUAUUCCAAUAUGGUGCGUUACAUAUAUGACCUGAAAAAAAGGUCCUUCGUGUGACACGGAGGGAAUCACGACAGAUUCCGAUAAGUCAUCGAGUGGUCGACCAGCUCUCAUAGCAUCAUGACAGUCGGUUUUCGGCUUUCUCUACUGAGGUGCUUGACCUGAUGAACCGGAAGCACAAUCGUAGCAGUUCUCCCUUUACUACCCUAGUCGAUAGAGCGGAACGUAAGGUAGCAAGCACAGGAGCCGGGCAACCCAACCAUUGACCCAAUACAUGAUUCAGAGCUGAUGCAUAUAAGGCCAAACUCGCGACGCCGAAGUACGCUGUAAAGCUGUUCGGACUUUGUUGGCAACUCAUUUGUUCCCAUACCGAGCCCCUGGCAGGUUAUGCCGAGGUAUAUCUGUGAAACAACCAUAGGAGCCAUAUUCAUUGGCGAAAAGACACGAAUUAUUAAUUCGGGUAAUGUUUACUGGGACCUGAGCGAUAUGCCAAUGAUUACUUUAUAUAUAAAGACCACAACGCCGACUAUUUGACAUGCCUGGGGUCGAAGGUGGAGGAAAAAGGCAUAAUACAGGCUUGAAAUAAUGAGUGCGGUCUACAAAAGGUUAUGUUGGACCUCCUGUUGCACGUCUGCGUCGCCUGUCCUCGGCGAGGGGAAUCCUUGACGGAGGUAGCCCCUUAGGUGAGUGUACGGAUCCGAACUCUGAUGGAGUCGGUUUAGAUGCUUGUCCUUUGCGUCACCUAUUUUUAAGAGAUAAUGAAAAAAGAAGUAAAAAAGAAAGUAGAUAAAAAAUGUUACUGGAAUGCUUGCAGGCUUGUCCGUAUUGUGCUUCCGCCAAUGCCCAUGGUAUCUUGAGUGCGUGGUGAUGUAUGCGCGGUACGAAUUUUGCGUGUAUAUGAGGUGGGCGGCGGAAGCCGAACUGCUACUUCCGCUCCAGGGUUGAUCGAUCCUCGGGGGGAAAUUGCUUCUGACCGCCAGUGUUUGGUUGGUGAACCUCUCCGUCAUCCCUAUCGCCCGGUGGCCUCCUCCCCUUGUGUUCGGCUUUGAGCUUGCCGUCCUGCUUGAAGACCCAACAGUUUCUGUUGGUAUGAUUAGCUGGUUUAUCGGGGUGGCCGUGAAUCUGGCAGGGUCGGUCCAAGAUCCUGUCUAGGUUGGAUGGUCUGUCUCGAUUCGCCUUGAGUGGCUUUUUCCGUUGACUGGAUUUGGGAUUGCUGAAUCCGGCGUUGACCGCUGUGUCGCGUGAUCUUUCAUUAUCAUCGCGACUGUUGUGUUUGCUUCGUCAUGGUUUGCCAUUGCCGUCUCGUAUUUCGGAAGUGCCCGGGUCACUGGCGCUGUUGCUUCUACGAGCAAGCCAACUGUCUUCUCCCGUGCAAAAGCGAGUCAUUAGAGCAGUAAGGGCUGUCAUGGAUUUAGGUCCCUCUUAACCGAGGUGGCGUGCAAGCCAUUCAUCCCGGAUGCUGUGUUUGAAGGCCGCGAGGGAUUCCACGUCCGGACAGUCGGCGAUUUGGUUCUUUUUUACUAAGAACCUAGUCCAGAGCUUUCUGGCUGACUCUCCGGGCUGCCGGACAAUGUGACUUAAUUCAUCGGUGUCCGGUGGCCGGACAUACGUUCCUUGGAAGUUGUCGCGAAAGGCAUCUUUCCAAAUCUUCCCGGCUGCCAAUAGAAUUCUCGGGCAGACUAUUUUACCAGUACCGAGCUGGUCCUUUGAGUUUUAGUGGUAUGUAU